AUUGAACGCUAGCGGGAUGCUUUACACAUGCAAGUCGAACGGCAGCGCGGACUUCGGUCUGGCGGCGAGUGGCGAACGGGUGUGUAAUGUAUCGGAACGUGCCCAGUAGCGGGGGAUAACUACGCGAAAGCUUAUCUAAUACCGCAUACGCCCUACGGGGGAAAGCAGGGGAUCGUAAGACCUUGCACUAUUGGAGCGGCCGGUAUCGGAUUAGCUAGCUGGUGAGGGCACGGCUCACCAAGGGGACGAUCCGUAGCUGAUUUGAGAGGACGACCAUCCACAGUGGGACUGAGACACGGCCCAGACUCCGACGGGAAGCAGCAGUGGGGAAUUUUGGACAAUGGGAGCAAGCAUGAUCCAGCCAUCCCGCGUGUGCGGUGAAAGCAAUGGGGUUGUGAAGCAGAUGUGGCAGGAAAGAAACGCUGCGGGCUAAUACGCCGUGGAAAUGACGGUACCUGCAGAAUAAGCACCGGCUAACUACGUG
rnacentral:rRNA from 1 species